rnacentral:rRNA from 1 species
AUGUCUGGGGACGCUCGUCUGCGGCUUAUUAACUCCAUGCUCUCCGCCAUUCCGGUGUACUUAAUCACCAUCUUUAAGCUUGGUGCUUGGGCCAUCAAGGAAAUCGACAAGCUACGGCGGAACUUCCUGUGGCGCUCCCGGCCUGACGCAGACAAGGGCAUUGCUCUGGUCAACUGGUCCACGGUAUGUCGCCCGAAAUACCUUGGGGGUCUUGGUGUGAUUGAUCUGAAGCAGUUUGGAAGGGCGCUGCGGCUUAGGUGGAAGUGGCUCGAGUGGCGGGACUAGAACAGGCCUUGGGUUGGCUCUCCCACUCCCUGUGACCGAGAUGACGAGGCUCUGUUUGCUGCUGCUACAAAUAUCACUGUGGGCAAUGGUUCACGGGCUCGCUUAUGGCAAGACCGAUGGCUUCAUGGUGAGGCACCUUGUCAACUAGCACCUGACGUCUUCCGUCUCUGCUACAGGAAGAAUUUCUUAGUGGCACAGGGACUCGCAGACUAG